UGGCAAUCAGCACACAGGUGGAGUUGAACAUUUGAAAGCAAAUUGCUGAUGUGUUGAAACAUAUCUUGUCAUCUUAGAGCUAUUUUAAUUAACUACAAAUCAGAAACACAGUGUAUCCCUUUUUGAGCAACCAUCCAGCUCCUAGAGUAACCUUUAUACUGUCCUUUUUUGAGUGUGCCAGUUCCAUAGUUUUUGAUGAAAUCAAAUUGAUCGUCUGAUAGCAGCAGAGCUUGCAUCUAGCUUGUUCUGUAAAGUGUUUAAUGCAUUUUGGUGCUUUGAGAGGUAGUAGUGUCAGGAAUGUGUACAUAUGUCCUUGGUUUUCGCAAAUAACCUUGUUAUGUUCUUGGUGAUUCAUCUUGCUGUUUUCUGGCAUGAAACAACCUUUUUUGUUUUCCUCAACUAGUGGUAAUACUAUUCAGUUUUCUGUUAACUGAGUAGAAUUGAUAUUUAUCUAUUAAGGAUGCAAAAGCAAGGGGGAAUAGAGGGGGUCACAUUUAUUUUGGUGUAAGCGCCUGCAGUUAAUGGAGUUACCCUGAGGAAUUAACGUGUCCUGCUAUUCAUAUUCUUUAAUUCCACUUGAAGUGGCCUCUAGCUAUCUUUGUGGAUCCAUUUUAAAGCAAGCGUGAAUGCAACUUAAAAAGGGUGACUGGAGCAAGGCAACAGUAAAUACUCUGACUCAUCACAGUGCAUAUUUAGGUAUUCAGGCAGAUAUUUAACUCUAAGUGCAGUUUCUCAGUCUGGCUCCCAAUAAGUAGAUAAAGAAAUGCACCUUUUUGAAUGUAUUGAUCAAGCAAAGGAGGUUGCUUUUACAUGAACUUUCUUUGAAUCUCCUCAGGGCUUCUCUUCUUGAAGCAGAAGUGGAAAACAAAUGGCUGUAUAUUCCCCAUCACUCAUUGUAUUAUAUAUGAUGAUGAGGUUUCUUUGCAUUUGGGAUUGUCCUUUUUGUCCAUGUUGCAUUGCACACAGUUCGGAUGGUCCCAGCCCCGCAAGUGGUGCUUUCAGCCUCAAGUGGCUGUAACUAAGUGAAUCUAGUGAAGACUGAAGGUCAGGACUAUUCCUGCCCUACUGCACUGACCUGCCCUGAGCUACAGGGCUGUUCUCAUUGUGUGGGCACUCUAGAUGCAGUCCUGCUGAUGGUUUAUCUAGGUGUCUUCCUGAGCUCCAUCCUACUGGCAAGAGCCAGUUGCUGCAAGACCACCUCCUCUUUGGCCAGCGUGCACCAGUGUUUGAUGUGCAUGGUGUCUGAGAGUACCUUGUAUAGAAACUGAGAUGGCACC